GAAACGACAGGUAGGAACUAUGAAGUCUUUGUUGAUAUAACUCGAGCUCUAAAAGCUCGAGUACUAUAUGUAUUUACAUGUAAAUAUGUAAUCUCCUCUCACUUCAACUUCUCACUGUCACCCUCCCUCUCCCUCUCACCGGAGCUCUGCCUCUCCUUCUCCCUGUCAUUAACGAACCAGAGAUUAUCUAACCGGAUCCCUGUCUAACACUCUUCUCUCUGACACCUAGCUUUCUCUCUCAGAGAUAUGGACAAGCAUCCAGCAGGACCCCGUGAUUGUACUGUCUUGACGAGGCAAGCAGAGCAUCGUUCGAGUUGGCUUUGGGAUGGUCCUCCGACAGGCCAGGCAUGGCCAGGUGUGCUCACUUGUCGCCAUCGAUUCAGUUGUAUGCCCGAAGUUGGGUUAGAUCCACGGGCUGCUGCAUAUAUCACGGAUGCGGGGUUAGGUGGGCUAUUACACGUCCCAAAUAUAGAGAUCGAUCAUGCAUUGAUCACCGCAUUGGUGGAGAGAUGGCGGCCGGAGACGCACUCAUUCCACUUGCCCCACGGUGAGAUGACAAUCACGUUACAAGACAUGGAGGUUAUUAUGGGGGUACCUGUAGAAGGCUUGCCAGUGGUGGGGAAAACCAAUAUGGAAUGGGGCAACUUAUGCCACGAAUUGCUAGGCCAUAAGCCUCCGGACAAAGAACCCCAUGCUAAUGAAAACACGGCUAUGUUGUGUGGGGCGAGGUUAAAAUUGUCUUGGCUCAAGACAAUGUUUCAUGACCCUCUACCAGCUGAUGCCACUGACUUACAAGUGCAGCAGUACGCUCGGUAUUACAUACUGGAGAUGUUGGGUGGUAUGUUGUUUAUGGACAAGUCUGGCGAACGGAUCUCGGUCAUGUAUCUGCAAUUCUUGAAUCCAAUCAGCAAUGGCAAGAAGUAUAGCUGGGGUAGUGCAGCACUAAGUUGGCUAUAUAGACACCUGUGUAAGGCGUCAGAGACUACCGCGAAGCAGAUUGGUGGUGCACUGCUAUUGGUGCAAAUAUGGGCGUAUGCCAGGUUCCCACACAUAUGUCCGAUGAUGAGGCAUCCACAUCAGGCACUGCCCCCGGGUCCACUUGCUGUUAGAUGGAAAGUGGCUACGUGCACCACAGAACAUGCAACGCACGUCUUAAGCGCCUAUCGUAUGUCACUUGCUUCGCUACGGCCAAAUCAGAUUGUGUGGGAGCCGUAUAAGUCAGUGAUAGGUUCCCUGCCCUCAUAUUGUACUGCAGGCCAACACAUAUGGAGGUCUACCGUACCGCUUCUACAUUUUUGGGUGGUUGAGGGCCAUCACCCCGAACGUGUCCUCCGACAGUUUGGGAUGAAGCAGGGCGUACCGGUCGAUGUCAAUACUUCUACUGAUUUGCACAAUAUAACACUCCAAGGGAAGCAUGACAAAGAUUGGGCUGUGGAACAUGCCUCUCAUAUUGCUAAAUGGGCUGCGCAUGCCGAAGUUGUCAAUGCACCGAUCUUUGAGGGGGAGAUGGGGUUCGAUGACGAGUAUAUGAAGUGGUUUCGUCGCAUCACUCGACGCUUUAUUACAAAAGAAACCUCAUACUGGGACACUUUGGUUGAAUCACAUUUGAGGAUACUGGCAAUGUGCGAACCAGGUUCCGCGAUCCACACCGAGUGUAUGUCUGCCUUGGAAGCUGUUGAAGAGCUUAGUCGGUUGAACUUGGAUAAUGCACGUGUUGCAAGCAACACGAGUGAACCGGCUGCAGGGCGUGGCCAGCUAGUUGGUGGACGUCGAGGCCAUGGAGGGCGUCAAUCUGGUGAUGGCAAGGUGAGACCAGACAAGGAACCAGUAAGGAGAAGAAAACGGGAAUGAUUUAGGUUCAUUGCAUGUUUGUCAAUAGGUAGCUCAGAUUUUUGUAUUAUUCUGGGCUUAUCUUUCCUUUCCUGCAUCUUCAAGAGAUCAACACUGCAGUGAGGUUCAGUUAUUCAGCAACAAAAGUAUUGUUAUAACAACUGCUAACUAGAAAGAGAAAAGAAAAUAGAGUGAAGAGAAAUGUUGGAUUACUAUCAGCAGCUUGCUGCUAAGCCCUCUUACCAUGAUUCCAUUAAAGUUCUUGAGACUGAUAUUCAGUACGCCAAUAUGCUUCCACACCCCUUCAAAUUUCGAAGGCCAUACCCCUUUGAGUGCACCAUCUGGCUUUUCCCCCCUCAAGUAAAGUUCCCCUAAUGCACCCUUGCUGAAACUCCUAGAACUGCUGCUCAUUGUAUUGAAUAUGCCCACUUAAUCAAGUGGGAUGAGGUUCAUAGUGGAAAGACUUUUGAUCUAGACGACCCAGAGCACAUGAAGUGGAUCUAUAAUGAGUUAUGUUACCCAUAUCCUGUAUGCUGUCAAGAGAGCUGAGGUUUUUGGCCUUCUAGGAGUCACAUAUUCUCUUACCCAGGGGGUUGUGAAGAAAACAUUAUUCCAGCUAUUGAUUCCACUAAUGCAAUUGUGUCAGCUGCAUGUGCACUUGAAGCUUUGAAGAUUACGACAGGAUG